rnacentral:rRNA from 1 species
GCUUGUCUCAAAGAUUAAGCCAUGCAUGUCUUAGUGUAAAUAACUCUUAUGAAACUGCGAAUGGCUCAUUAAAUCAGUUAUCAAAUACGUGAUGGUCGCCUACUACAUGGAUAACCGUAGUAAUUCUAGAGCUAAUACAUGCUAAAAAUCCCGACUUCGGAAGGGAUGUAUUUAUUAGAUUAAAAACCAAUGCCCUUCGGGGCUCUCUGGUGAUUCAUAAUAACUGCUCGAAUCGCAUGGCCUUGCGCCGGCGAUGGCUCAUUCAAAUUUCUGCCCUAUCAACUUUCGACGGCUGGGUCUUGGCCAGCCAUGGUGACAACGGGUAACGGAGGGUUAGGGCUCGACCCCGGAGAAGGAGCCUGAGAGACGGCUACUACAUCCAAGGAAGGCAGCAGG